AUCGCUUGUGCCUCCCCUCAUGUGUUCACACUAAUCUUUCGCCUUUUACUAAAGAUAACCGUUGAGAGGGGCACUUCAGUGAGCCUUAAGGCCAAUUUUUAAAGGUCCUGCCUGUCUGGGCGGGG